ACAUUUUGUUUAUUAUGUAAACGUAAUUAUUAUUAUUUUUUAGGGGAAAAUGGUAGGAGGUAUUGCUAAAAAAGUGGGUCCUGGGAUCUUGAAAUAUGCUGCAGAUAAAAUAGCUGAAGGAAAAUAAGAAAUGUGUACAGGAAACUAUAAUUUAGUUGUACAUAAAUAAUAAAAUUAUUUAAAGGAGAAAUACAAGUUGCAUUUGUAUAUCAAUUGUAUUUUCUUUCUGAUAUAUAAAAAGAAAAUAAAAUCCUACAUAUUUGCAUUAUAA